GCAGUCGACGGCAGCACGGACUUCGGUCUGGUGGCGAGUGGCGAACGGGUGAGUAAUAUAUCGGAACGUGCCCAGUCGUGGGGGAUAACGUAGUGAAAAUUACGCUAAUACCGCAUACGAUCUAAGGAUGAAAGCGGGGGAUCGCAAGACCUCGCGCGAUUGGAGCGGCCGAUAUCAGAUUAGGUAGUUGGUGAGGUAAAGGCUCACCAAGCCAACGAUCUGUAGCUGGUCUGAGAGGACGACCAGCCACACUGGAACUGAGACACGGUCCAGACUCCUACGGGAGGCAGCAGUGGGGAAUUUUGGACAAUGGACGCAAGUCUGAUCCAGCCAUUCCGCGUGCAGGACGAAGGCCUUCGGGUUGUAAACUGCUUUUGUACAGAACGAAAAGGUCUCUAUUAAUACUAGGGGCUCAUGACGGUACUGUAAGAAUAAGCACCGGCUAACUACGUGCCAGCAGCCGCGGUAAUACGUAGGGUGCAAGCGUUAAUCGGAAUUACUGGGCGUAAAGCGUGCGCAGGCGGUUAUAUAAGACAGAUGUGAAAUCCCCGGGCUCAACCUGGGAACUGCAUUUGUGACUGUAUAGCUGGAGUGCGGCAGAAGGGGGGUGGAAUUCCACGUGUAGCAGUGAAAUGCGUAGAGAUGUGGAGGAACACCGAUGGCGAAGGCAGCCCCCUGGGUCGACACUGACGCUGAGGCACGAAAGCGUGGGUAGCAAACAGGAUUAGAUACCCUGGUAGUCCACGCCCUAACGAUGCCACUAGGUGUU
rnacentral:rRNA from 1 species